rnacentral:rRNA from 1 species
CAAUAGCGUAUAUUAAAGUUGUUGCGGUUAAAAGCUCGUAGUUGGAUUUCUGCCGAGGACGACCGGUCCGCCCUCUGGGUGAGCAUCUGGUCCGCUUUGGGCAUCCUCCUGGGGAACGUUCCGUCGCUUGAUUGUGUGGUACGGAAUCUAGGACUUUUACUUUGAGGAAAUUAGAGUGUUCACUGCAGGCAUACGCCUUGAAUACGUUAGCAUGGAAUAAUAAGAUAGGACCUCGGUUCUAUUUUUCGGUUUCUAGAGCUGAGGUAAUGAUUAACAGGGAUAGUUGGGGCAUUCGUAUUUAACUGUCAGAGGUGAAAUUCUUGGAUUUGUUAAAGACGAACUACUGCGAAAGCAUUUGCCAAGGAUGUUUUCAUUGAUCAAGAACGAAAGUUAGGGAUCGAAGACGAUUAGAUACCA